GGAGAGUUGUCCGAGAGGCUGAAGGAGCAUGAUUGGAAAUCAUGUAAACGGGUAAUGAUCUGUUUCAAGGGUUCGAAUCCCUUACUCUCCG
rnacentral:tRNA from 3 species